CCGGCGUUUGUUUUGCAUCCGGU
rnacentral:siRNA from 1 species